GACGAACGCUGACGGCGUGCUUAACACAUGCAAGUCGAAGGGAGUGGCGAACGGGUGAGUAACACGUGAGUAACCUGCCCUUUUCUUUGGGAUAAGCCUGGGAAACUGGGUCUAAUACUGGAUGGAAUGGGAGGGGCUCGCGGCUUAUCAGCUUGUUGGUGGGGUGGUGGCUUACCAAGGCUUUGACGGGUAGCCGGCCUGAGAGGGUGGUCGGUAACAGUGGGACGGAGAUACGGCACAGCCUCCUACGGGAGGCAGCAGGGGGGGAUAUUGCACAAUGGACGAAAGUCUGAUGCAGCGACGUCGUGUGGGGGAUGAAGGCCUUCGGGUUGUAAUUUCCUUUCGUCCGCGGAAUGGUAGUAGGUAAAGAAGCGUCGGCUAACUACGUGCCAGCAGCCGCGGUAAUUC
rnacentral:rRNA from 1 species